CUACGUGCCAGCAGCCGCGGUAAUACGUAGGUGGCAAGCGUUGUCCGGAAUUAUUGGGCGUAAAGCGCGCGCAGGCGGAUUGGUCAGUCUGUCUUAAAAGUUCGGGGCUUAACCCCGUGAUGGGAUGGAAACUGCCAAUCUAGAGUAUCGGAGAGGAAAGUGGAAUUCCUAGUGUAGCGGUGAAAUGCGUAGAUAUUAGGAAGAACACCAGUGGCGAAGGCGACUUUCUGGACGAAAACUGACGCUGAGGCGCGAAAGCCAGGGGAGCGAACGGGAUUAGAUACCCCGGUAGUCCUGGCCGUAAACGAUGGGUACUAGGUGUAGGAGGUAUCGACCCCUUCUGUGCCGGAGUUAACGCAAUAAGUACCCCGCCUGGGGAGUACGACCGCAAGGUUGAAACUCAAAGGAAUUGACGGGGGCCCGCACAAGCGGUGGAGUAUGUGGUUUAAUUCGACGCAACGCGAAGAACCUUACCAGGU
rnacentral:rRNA from 1 species